ACGAAUGGAAGAACGCGAGAUCGUGUCACGGGGGAGGGAGAUGAUGCUAAAGGAUAUAAAGUGGCGUAGGAAAGAUGAUAGAAAGAAAGAUAGCGGAGAAAGGGCGAGAAAGAUGACAAGGUACGCGAGCUUGCGUAUUAACGCAGAAACAUACCACUUACGUAUAGAUAGGUCUAUACACGAUAGAAUAUAUAAAUAGUACCGCGCACACACAGAGAACAAGUGCGAGCGUGACCAAACGAAUGUGUGGAACGUGAAUGAGAGAGUGAGAGAGUGAAUAGACGAACCACUAAAGUAUAUUAAACGCGAGCACGUGUACGCGCGUAUACACGCGUUCCUGCUGUUACUUUGCUUGAAGCGCGUGUAUGCGCAUCUACACUUAGAUUAUAGAUAUGUAUAUUGUAUAUUACAUUUGUAUAAAGAAAAAUCUUUUCUACGGUUAAUUUAUUCGUGGCUGAAUUGCCAAGUAACACAUAUAUAAAAAGUUUCGCAGUAAGAGGAGCACGACACGGAGAAAAGGGGCGGGAAGACGAGAAGGCCGCGACUGGAUUAUUUGCAAAAAUUAUUCCAGUCUCUUACCACUGCGAUAGGAAACGCAUAUAAAGAAUAUCGCAUAAAGAGGAAGAAAGAGGGAAAGAAAGCAGGAAAGGGCGGGGCAGGGGGAAGGAAAGCUCUGAAAAGAAGCAUUGUCCGUAUUUUCGAACGUUUUCCUCGGCAUAUGAUGUAUACGCUUUUAUACUCGUUAACACUGGAAUUGUAUCGAGCGCGCGAGGCCCUGUCGAGCGUUAGAGAGCGUGAUAUGACACGAGAUCGAGAUAAUGCACGCGCGUUCGGAUUGCGUGAGAGCGAGAGAACUGUAAAUCUGUAAGAAUGAACGUUUGCGUUUAUGUGUGUAUGUUAAGUAUGUAUGCGUAUGUGGGUGUGCUUCAUGGGGUCGACGAGAAUGCGGGCAGAUGGAAAAAGGACAAUUGUGUGGGGGGCAUAAGCGUGAGGAGAAGAAAACACAGAUCAGGAAGAGGGAGUGGGGAGAAAGAGCAACGCACGCCUGAAAUCUCUUCUACGUACGUAUAUAGUAUACCACAUUCGGGCGUCGUUUCCAUUUUGUUAAUUUUCUCUUUUUUUUUUUUUCCAGUAUUAUCUAGUCGUGCGAGUUUAAUUAAAUAUCGUUUCGUUAGGGAACGGGGAAAUGACAAAAGCGAUACAUGCAUGCAUGCGUGGUGGUUGCUAAAUCGAUGCUGUUAUUGGCUCCACUCUCUGCUUUACAAGGAGAAUGAAUUUGGACGAAGGAAAUUCGCGUUAACUGGAUCUUUUUCUUCUUUUCUCUUUUUUCAUUUUCUUUUCCUUUUCUUUUCUUUUCUUUUCUUUUCUUUUUUUUUUUCUCUCUUAACAAACAUUGACUUAACGUAUAUACAGGGAUAAUCGUUUUCCUCGUUAGUUCAAGUCUACUUCUCAGGCAAGAUUUAGAAAAUAAUUAACGCCUUUGAGAUUCUUUGGUGUUGGAGCUGCCGCUGCAGCCCGCAACGGCGUUUAAUUGCACGGUAACAGCGCUUCCCACGCGGACGGAAUUCACCGAACGAAGGUGUGUUAACUUUCCAUUCCCGAGCAGCUUGAUCGUUGAAGAAUGUACCACGCUGUCGAUGUUCCACGAGGACACACACACAUCGUCAUCAUUAUGACCGUACGAUACGAUUCGUUGUCGAAAUUUUAUCUGAAAUUAUUUUUUUUAAUCAAAUACUCUAUAAAAUUAUAUCAUUUUUCAUUUUUGCAUAUUUAAAUAUCGAAAGCAUCACGAGUAAUUGAACAUAUAUCAUUGAUCGUAAAUGUAUACGAGGUCGACAGCGAGAAAGGAUUGUUAGAAGUUCAUAAGGUACGAAUGGGAAGGAAGGGUCAAAUUGUUCGAAAAUAUAUCACGAGAAAAGCGAUUGUUCGAAACAACGAUUCUUCAAACUACUCGUUCGGCUUCGUUCAUCGCGAAGAAGUAGCGAGAAGUGAGACGAAAUUAUUACCAUCGAAAAGUCAAUAUGGCGACUAAAAUCGAACAUCAAAUGAAUCGUGACGCAUCUACAUUCAUACCUUUAUUCUUCUAUGUUGAAGGAAUAAGAGAACGCAUGGUACAUAGAGAACGGAGAUUGAUCGUAAUUGAUAAUUUUAAAUUCAUUGAUCGGGUUAGCCUUUCACCAGCCAAGAAUCGUUUACGUAAAUAAAUAAUACUAGUUUAAAAGCUCAAGAAUAGGCAAUCGAAUUUGAUUGGUUGUUUCUAAUAGAUUUAAUAUACAAUCGUAAAAAAAAAAGAAUACUGGUCGAAAGUGUCACCAUCUACAGAUAAGAACAUAUACCACGUGAACAAACGAGUAAACUAUAUAACAUUUAUUCAUUACAUACUCGAACUUUUGUUGCGGAUACUAUAUAUUCGAGUCUAAUCCCCACCAUUGUGAAUUCUUUUUGGGGUUAGUGAAGUGCAUAAUGUGAAUAAUGAAAUAAUACAUAACAAAUUUUUUGAAAUAUACAAGCUUUCAAUUCCACUUAGUCUUUUGCUAGUUCUCAUUACCUACAUUUGUUGUUGUCAGCAAAAAUAAAAUAAGGUUAGAAUUUCAUAUUGCGAUCUUAUAACGGAUCGUAUAACGAAUAAAUAUUGUAUUUUUCUUAGCUUCUAUAUUUCAAGUGUCAAUUCUUGAGCCCAACUAGUGUAUUACGUUCAUGUUGUGAAUAUAUUUCACGUAACAAAAGAAACAACGAAAGUGUUUUACAGAGACGUUGAGAAAAGUCAAUUGGAUUUUUGAAUGUGUAUUAAAAUUCGAUUUGAAUGAAUCGAUGCAAGAGGAAAGAAGUUUGCUACAAUGUUAAUUAGAAAGUAAUGUGCGACAAUCCCAUUGAUGUUUUGUAUAAACCUACGUACACGUCUGUAUGUAUAAUGUGUGUGGUUCGAUGUGUGUGCGCGCGCGCGUGUCUCGCCAAGCGAAAAGAAAAAAAUCCGAUUCAUGAUGAUUCGAAGUUAAUCAAGAAGAUGAUGCCAAUGACAGAAGGUUACAGAAGAAAAAGAGAAAAGAGAACGAGCCGAAAAUAAGAAGAAAGUGGCAGGCUGGUUGGUCCAGUGUUGUCACGUGACCGGAAGUGGCCUCUUCCCCACCCUUCAACUCCACCUUCGAUGUGGAGACCUGUACGCGUUCCCCCCUUUUUCCUUCCUUUGGCUUCAUCCGGUUAGCGAUGGGUAUUAAAUUCCGUCCGCUGUAAGUUUUUGAAUGAAAAAUUCCGAUAAAAAUCUCCUUUUAAUAGUUAGUAAUGAAUAAUAAUUUUUUAAUCUAUUUAUAAAUUCAUAGGUUUUUUUAAUAAUUCAUAGAAGAGAAAAAUUGUUAGAUAUGUAUAAUAUAUAAGGAAUAUAAUAUAUUCCUUAGAAUAUUAAAUGGACUGUUAAAGAAAAAAGGUAUCACGAUAUCAUUAUUAUUUCAAUUUAAUUUUAAUACAAACAAAAAUAAAAAUUUGAUGGAAUAUUAAAAUUGUCUUUGAAAUAUCAAAUUUUGCAAUAU